GUGUCAGCAGCCGCGGUAAUACGUAGGGGGCAAGCGUUGUCCGGAAUCAUUGGGCGUAAAGCGCGUGUAGGCGGCUCGGUAAGUCUGCUGUGAAAGUCCAGGGCUCAACCCUGGGAUGCCGGUGGAUACUGUCGAGCUCGAGUCCGGAAGAGGCGAGUGGAAUUCCUGGUGUAGCGGUGAAAUGCGCAGAUAUCAGGAGGAACACCAAUGGCGAAGGCAGCUCGCUGGGACGUGACUGACGCUGAGACGCGAAAGCGUGGGGAGCAAACAGGAUUAGAAACCCCAGUAGUCC
rnacentral:rRNA from 1 species